AAGACUAUAAUUUCAGGAAUCAUUUCUAUAGUUCUUAACUAAGAAAUGUGUUUCGAAAGUGUUGUGUUUUCUAAACCACGGUGAUGAGCUUUGAUGCUCUUUUCUAAGCGUGAGGCAGGUGUAGAGUAAUGAUUUGUUUCGUAAGUUUUACAACUUUUAUGAGCCUUCCUUAUUGCGUCUUUGCAGUGAGGAAGAGAAGGGUAUGUUCAGAGUGGU
rnacentral:snoRNA from 1 species